rnacentral:rRNA from 1 species
UGAAUACGAGAUGCUACGGCGUCGAAGCAGUCUAUGUCAUACUUCCAAGAAAAGCUUGCACUGUCAUAAACAAAUAAUGCCUGUACCAUAACCGACACAGGUGGGUAGGUAGAGUAUACUAAGGGGCGCGAGAUAACUCUCUCUAAGGAACUCGGCAAAAUGACUCCGUAACUUCGGGAGAAGGAGUGCCUUAUUUAUAAGGUUGCAAUAACAAGAUCCAAGCAACUGUUUACCAAAAACACAGGUCUCCGCUAAGUCGUAAGACGAUGUAUGGGGGCUGACGCCUGCCCAGUGCCAGAAGGUUAAAGAAGUUGGUUAGCAUCCGCGAAGCUGAUAACUGAAGCCCUGGUGAACGGCGGCCGUAACUAUAACGGUCCUAAGGUAGCGAAAUUCCUUGUCGGGUAAGUUCCGACCCGCACGAAAGGCGUAAUGAUUUGGAUACUGUCUCGGAGAGGGGCUCGGUGAAAUAGACUUGUCUGUGAAGAUGCGGACUACCUGCACCAGGACAGAGAGACCCUAUGAAGCUUUACUGUAACCUGAAAUUGAAAUUGGACUUUACUUGCGCAGUAUAGGUGGGAGGCGUUGAGAAUAUUCUUGCGGGAUUAUUGGAGCCAUCAGUGAGAUACCACUCUUGUAAUGUUAGAUUUCUAACUUUGUAUCAUUAUCUGGUCAAAGAACAGUUUCAGGCGGGCAGUUUGACUGGGGCGGUCGCCUCCUAAACGGUAACGGAGGCGCACAAAGGUUUCCUCUGAACGGGUAGAAAUCGUAUCUAGAGUGUAAAGGCAUAAGGAAGCCUGACUGUGAGACCUACAAGUCGAGCAGGGACGAAAGUCGGUCUUAGUGAUCUGACGGUGCUGAGUGGAAAGGCCGUCACUCAACGGAUAAAAGUUACUCUAAGGAUAACAGGCUGAUCUCCCCCAAGAGUUCACAUCGACGGGGAGGUUUGGCACCUCGAUGUCGGCUCAUCGCAUCCUGGGGCGGUAGUACGUCCCAAGGGUUGGGCUGUUCGCCCAUGAAAGCGGUACGCGAGCUGGGUUCAGAACGUCGUGUGACAGUUCGGUCCAUAUCCGGUGUAGGCGUUAGAAUAUUGAGAGGAGCCUUCUUUAGUACGAGAGGACCGAGAAGGACAUACCUCUGGUGUACCAGUUAUCGUGCCAACGGUAAACGCUGGGUAGCUAUGUGUGGAGUGGAUAACCGCUGAAAGCAUCUAAGUGGGAAGCCCACCUCAAGAUAAGUAUUCUCAC